rnacentral:lncRNA from 1 species
CAGGAACCUUGUAAAGGGACUUAAUGCAGGAACCUGUAGUUCCUUUGCAUCAGAAGAGUAGAGUAGUUAACACAUUUUGGUUUGGUGGUAGUGAUAUAAUGGGUAGAUGUAGGAUGGGGUCUUGAGGAGGGUUCUACAAGGCAAAUCAGGAGUAGAUCAACGAAAGGAAUAUCUCAUGAUUUCAUGGAUAAGGAUCUAUGGAGUUUGUAAAGGGAAAUGUUAAUGGGAACAGUUGAUAAUAGCAGUCACAAACGUGAAGCAAAGAAAAUGAUUUGGGAGGAAUCAGGGGGAUGGUUAAGGAAAGUAAUUGAGCUGCAUAUUGAUGUAUUGUAGCCAGGAAAGAGUAGUUUGAGCUUGGGGACUCUUCUGAGAUUGGUUUUCCAGUUGAAGAAUAUGAAAUUGUGUAAUGACUGAUUUCAAGGCAGGGACAAGCUGGCAAGAGACUCAUAGGUCAGCUACAGGGUAUUUGUAAUAGCUAUUAGGAUAGAGUUUUCCAAUGACUUGUUUGCCAACAUUCAUCCCAUGGAUUGUUGAUGGAAAACUGAAACAUGUUUUAUGGUUUGUGAGAAUCGGGCACCAUGGAUUCAAUUCUUGAACUCCAGUAUCUGCAUCUUCCAUAUGUGGAGGCCCCCUGGAGACACUCAAGUUCAGCAGAGAAAGCAGAGGAAAUGGAUAGGGAGAGUGGAGAUAGAAACUAUGUGUCAGAGGAUCUCAGUCCUCAUCCUACAUCCUUGAGGUGGGUAAUUCUUGGUUCCUAUGAUUUUGUUGUGUCCAUUGUAGAUCUCCCCGGUGAAGAAACUCUAGAGGAAAGUGUUUAGAAGGCUAGAAAAAGGCUGGGAAGUAGCAGAGUUUGUAUGAAAACUUACAAAAACUGCCAUAUGAAUAGAGGAGGGUGAAGAUUGUGGAGAGCACAGGGUGAAUUAACCAUUUCGAGUUUUCUCUUGUUUGAGCUAUAGCACAUGUAAGUGUGAGUAUAUAUCUAUCAUAACAAAGACAUAUUUUGUC